AUACUUACCUGGCAAGGGGGAGAUACCAUGAUUACAAGAGUGUCUUUCCCAGGGUGAGGCUCAUCCACUGCACUCUGGAUGUGCGGAUCUCUGUGAUUCUCCAUGUGUGGGCAACUGAACUGAAUCAUUUGUGAUAGGUGAGGGCCUGUGUUCCCACACAG